UACGGAGGGAGCUAGCGUUGUUCGGAAUUACUGGGCGUAAAGCGCACGUAGGCGGCUUUGUAAGUUAGAGGUGAAAGCCCGGGGCUCAACCCCGGAAUUGCCUUUAAGACUGCAUCGCUUGAAUCCGGGAGAGGUGAGUGGAAUUCCGAGUGUAGAGGUGAAGUUCGUAGAUAUUCGGAAGAACACCAGUGGCGAAGGCGGCUCACUGGACCGGAAUUGACGCUGAGGUGCGAAAGCGUGGGGAGCAAACAGG
rnacentral:rRNA from 1 species